ACUCUAAGCGGUGGAUCACUCGGCUCAUGGGUCGAUGAAGAACGCAGCAAACUGUGCGUCAUCGUGUGAACUGCAGGACACAUGAACAUCGACAUUUUGAACGCAUAUCGCAGUCCAUGCUGUUAUGUACUUUAAUUAAUUUUAUAGUGCUGCUUGGACUACAUAUGGUUGAGGGUUGUAAGACUAUGCUAAUUAAGUUGCUUAUAAAUUUUUAUAAGCAUAUGGUAUAUUAUUGGAUAAAUAUAAUAAUUUUUAUUCAUAAUAUUAAAAAAUAAAUGAAAAACAUUAUCUCACAUUUGAAUGUGAAAAACGAAGAGAAAUAUUUUCUUUUUCAAUCAAAUAAUACUGAGAAAUGUCUAGCAUAAAAAAUUGAAAUAUUUUUCAUCUAGAAUUGUCUCUUAUUAAUGAUUCGGAAAUAGAAAAAUCUUGGUUAUGUUAUUAUUCUUCGUUGGUUCGUUAAAAAUGGAUAAAUAAAAACUUUGCAUACAAGAAUUAAUAAAAAUGUUAUAACGAAUUUAAUUAAAUGUUUUAUCAUUAUAUAUAAAGAAUUUAUGGCAAGAUAAAGUUAUAUACAACCUCAACUCAUAUGGGACUACCCCCUGAAUUUAAGCAUAUUAAUUAGGGGAGGAAAAGAAACUAACAAGGAUUUUCUUAGUAGCGGCGAGCGAAAAGAAAACAGUUCAGCACUAAGUCACUUUGUCUAUAUGGCAAAUGUGAGAUGCAGUGUAUGGAGCGUCAAUAUUCUAGUAUGAGAAAUUAACGAUUUAAGUCCUUCUUAAAUGAGGCCAUUUACCCAUAGAGGGUGCCAGGCCCGUAUAACGUUAAUGAUUACUAGAUGAUGUUUCCAAAGAGUCGUGUUGCUUGAUAGUGCAGCACUAAGUGGGUGGUAAACUCCAUCUAAAACUAAAUAUAACCAUGAGACCGAUAGUAAACAAGUACCGUGAGGGAAAGUUGAAAAGAACUCUGAAUAGAGAGUUAAACAGUACGUGAAACUGCUUAGAGGUUAAGCCCGAUGAACCUGAAUAUCCGUUAUGGAAAAUUCAUCAUUAAAAUUGUAAUAUUUAAAUAAUAUUAUGAGAAUAGUGUGCAUUUUUUCCAUAUAAGGACAUUGUAAUCUAUUAGCAUAUACCAAAUUUAUCAUAAAAUAUAACUUAUAGUUUAUUCCAAUUAAAUUGCUUGCAUUUUAACACAGAAUAAAUGUUAUUAAUUUGAUAAAGUGCUGAUAGAUUUAUAUGAUUACAGUGCGUUAAUUUUUCGGAAUUAUAUAAUGGCAUAAUUAUCAUUGAUUUUUGUGUUUAUUAUAUGCACUUGUAUGAUUAACAAUGCGAAAGAUUCAGGAUACCUUCGGGACCCGUCUUGAAACACGGACCAAGGAGUCUAACAUAUGUGCAAGUUAUUGGGAUAUAAACCUAAUAGCGUAAUUAACUUGACUAAUAAUGGGAUUAGUUUUUUAGCUAUUUAUAGCUAAUUAACACAAUCCCGGGGCGUUCUAUAUAGUUAUGUAUAAUGUAUAUUUAUAUUAUUUAUGCCUCUAACUGGAACGUACCUUGAGCAUAUAUGCUGUGACCCGAAAGAUGGUGAACUAUACUUGAUCAGGUUGAAGUCAGGGGAAACCCUGAUGGAAGACCGAAACAGUUCUGACGUGCAAAUCGAUUGUCAGAAUUGAGUAUAGGGGCGAAAGACCAAUCGAACCAUCUAGUAGCUGGUUCCUUCCGAAGUUUCCCUCAGGAUAGCUGGUGCAUUUUAAUAUUAUAUAAAAUAAUCUUAUCUGGUAAAGCGAAUGAUUAGAGGCCUUAGGGUCGAAACGAUCUUAACCUAUUCUCAAACUUUAAAUGGGUAAGAACCUUAACUUUCUUGAUAUGAAGUUCAAGGUUAUGAUAUAAUGUGCCCAGUGGGCCACUUUUGGUAAGCAGAACUGGCGCUGUGGGAUGAACCAAACGUAAUGUUACGGUGCCCAAAUUAACAACUCAUGCAGAUACCAUGAAAGGCGUUGGUUGCUUAAAACAGCAGGACGGUGAUCAUGGAAGUCGAAAUCCGCUAAGGAGUGUGUAACAACUCACCUGCCGAAGCAACUAGCCCUUAAAAUGGAUGGCGCUUAAGUUGUAUACCUAUACAUUACCGCUAAAGUAGAUGAUUUAUAUUACUUGUGAUAUAAAUUUUGAAACUUUAGUGAGUAGGAAGGUACAAUGGUAUGCGUAGAAGUGUUUGGCGUAAGCCUGCAUGGAGCUGCCAUUGGUACAGAUCUUGGUGGUAGUAGCAAAUAAUCGAAUGAGACCUUGGAGGACUGAAGUGGAGAAGGGUUUCGUGUGAACAGUGGUUGAUCACGAGUUAGUCGGUCCUAAGUUCAAGGCGAAAGCCGAAAAUUUUCAAGUAAAACAAAAAUGCCUAACUAUAUAAACAAAGCGAAUUAUAAUACACUUGAAUAAUUUUGAACGAAAGGGAAUACGGUUCCAAUUCCGUAACCUGUUGAGUAUCCGUUUGUUAUUAAAUAUGGGCCUCGUGCUCAUCCUGGCAACAGGAACGACCAUAAAGAAGCCGUCGAGAGAUAUCGGAAGAGUUUUCUUUUCUGUUUUAUAGCCGUACUACCAUGGAAGUCUUUCGCAGAGAGAUAUGGUAGAUGGGCUAGAAGAGCAUGACAUAUACUGUUGUGUCGAUAUUUUCUCCUCGGACCUUGAAAAUUU
rnacentral:rRNA from 1 species